AAGUCGUAACAAGGUUUCCGUAGGUGAACCUGCGGAAGGAUCAUUAACACGUAUCCAACGUUAAACAACCCUGUGAACUUUCAACCGCUCUUGUAGCCCACGCGGAACAGCAAUCCCGGUAAAUCAAUUGGAGAAAAGGUUUUGAUUCGGGACCUCUGUCCAUCAGGCUACAAUCGAGCUAGGAGCAGUGGCAUGGUUUCCCUAAGCAGUGCAGAAGGAUCCACUGAGUAAGGAUAACGCCUCACGGUUGCCAGAGGUCGAUCACCGGCCGGCAGACAUUCACACCUUGCCCUAUCUGGCCCCACGGAAACGUUGGGGCACAAACCGAACAACUGUUAACAAUGGAUAUCUUGGUUCUC
rnacentral:misc_RNA from 1 species